GAAAUGCGAUAAGUAAUGUGAAUUGCAGAAUUCAGUGAAUCAUCGAAUCUUUGAACGCACAUUGCGCCCGCCAGUAUUCUGGCGGGCAUGCCUGUUCGAGCGUCAUUUCAACCAUCAAGCCCCGGGCUUGUGUUGGGGACCUGCGGCUGCCGCUGGCCCUGAAAACCAGUGGCGGGCUCGCUGUCACACCGAGCGUAGUAGAUUCUCAUCUCGCUCAGGGCGUGCUGCGGGUUCCGGCCGUAAAACAGCCUUAUUUUACCCAAGGUUGACCUCGGAUCAGGUAGGAAGACCCGCUGAACUUAAGC
rnacentral:misc_RNA from 1 species